GCCGUAAGAUACUUUGUUCUCGCUGAGAGUUCCGAUAAUCAUCUGGCGCAUAUCCCUGCUGGCAUCGCCGCGCACCGCUAACAGCGCCUGGAUAUGCUCCUCCCUACAAAGAUCGUAAAUCAUUCCGCAUUCAGUACUUGCAGAAAAUGAUUUAUGUGUUGAAUUUAGCUAAAGUGGUGGAGAAGCAAAUCUGUGAACUCCGCCAUAUGUAACCUGCCAGGCAACGCAUCCAACAAUGGACUGGAAUCAUCUGAUACUACGUAGUGACUCGAGAAGAAGAAGACUUGCAAAUGGGAGUACAGACAAAAUGCUUACAUACCUAAUGUCAGGGUAUUUGGAGACCAAGAUUGUGUCCACCGCAUGAGAGCCUGUCAGCCAUUUUCUGGUGAGAAGCUCAUUGAGGUGAUGCUGGAAAUGACAAGAAAAUGCUGAUAUCAAGGCAAUUGGAUGCACGGUCCAAGAAGACUUCAUCUAAGAGGAAUUGACAUCCCUCCUUGGCCACCUCGUUGAGUGUCCUCUCUAUGAUGGCAUCACUGUCAGACGGCCCAGACAACUGAGAGUAUUUUCUCUUUAGACUAUUGAUGGACUCUCUAAAUGACAUAUUGGACAUAUGUUAAUCAUGAAUAACCUGAUUUGACAGAUUCAUCUGGAAAUGAGUCAAUGAAAACUAGGGCUGCACAAUUAAUUGCAUUUUAAUCGUGAUCAUGAUUUUGGAUGCCAAGAUUAAAUGUUUGUUGGUGACUAUUACGUGUAAAAUGCAGUCCCUGUUGCUGAUCAAAUCAAGCACUUUUUCAACCAGCAGUCAGCCAAAAAACUGAGUGUGCGUUAAUCAUUAAAGCGGAAGUUCAGAAUUUUUUACACUAGGCUUAAUCUUCAAGUUAGCGGGAGUUAAAUUAGUUGGUUAAGUGGAUUUCAACAAAUUCUGUGCAGUUUGUUAGUUAUUCAUUAAUUUCAGGGCUCCGGAGGUGCUAAGCUAGAGCGAGUAAAUGGUCCCUUCCUAGCAUGCCAAUAAAAAAACGAUACUAACAAAUCUAACAUAGUCAAAUAAAUUCAAAAUGCAAAUCGUUGUUUAAAAUACCCAUGCAGCCAAAACAAUGUCACACCAAACUGCCGUAAUUAAUUUAUUUCUGCGGGAGUAUUUUUUUAGAUGCGUAAUGUGACCACAAUAGAAAGGAGUGCUUUGGCCACUCGUGCUCAUGCUGAAUUCGAGGAAGGUGGGAAGUCAGAAUUAUCACACUCGGAUGGUAUCAGGUGCGACCUCAAAACAUUCCAAGCGUUUUUCAUUUUUGCCAUCAAAAGCCAUGUUGACCUCCAGAAAACAUGGCUUCUCGUAAGCGAUCAAAUAGUGUAGGAAAAACGAGGGCUAAGAUAAAUAGACCACACUGUAAACUGCCUUCUUUAGUUUUACUAUUGACUGUCUGUUUUUCGACAGGCAGCGCGUUUUGUCGAGUCAGGUCUGAUUGAAGCAACUCUUGAAGUCGGGGUAAUUUUUUUUGUCCUGACUUCACGACUAGGGCCCCCCAGUUCGAGUGGCGUUCCAAUGAUAUUUAUCCGGGUCGGAGGUUGGAAAACUCCGAUUUGCCACAUUCCUCAAAUGCAGCAUUAGUCUACAGCAGUGGUGUCCAAACUAUUCCACAUAGGGCCGCAGUGGGUGCUGGAUUUCAUUCCUACACAACAAGAUGACAUCUUUUCACCAAUCUGGUGUCUCACAAGUCUAAUCAGUUCAUUGCAGUCAGGUGCUGCUUGUUUUAGCACAAACUUCAUUGGUUAAACUGUCUGUGCUCGAUUGGUAGGAACAAAAACAAGGACCAACAGCGGCCCUUGAGGGCAGGUUUGGACACCCAUGAUCUUGUCUUGACUGAAGAACGGCAACAUAGUGAAACGUGCAUUUAGAGGCUGUGGAAACAGACCGAAGAAAUAGGCAAAUGGGUUUCCACAAAUUCCCUAUGAAGAACAAGGGACAAUAAAAACUGGACACUUGCUGCUGGCUAUGAUAUAAACACACCGGUGGAAUAAAUAUUACUCUGCUCUGCAGCCUGUUACCAACAGAGCAACUGGAUCAUACUGCACUUAUUGACAUGCAAUGGCAAGUUUUAAUAACAUCAUCCUGAAAACAUAGCCAACACUAUUGAUUGCUUGGGUCAUCGGUGAUUUUCAUGAGCGCAUAUGUUGUUUUUUUAUUGGCAUGCUAGGACGGGCUCAUUCACUCGCGCUAGCCUAGCUACUCCGGAGCCCUGAAAUUAACAAAUAAAUCACCAACUGCAUGGAAUUUGUUGAAAUAAACUCCACCGAUGAAUUUAACCCCCGCUAACUUGAAGAUUAAGCCUAAUGCCAAUUUUUUAACUUCCCUUUAAGGUGCCUCAAUAAAAACUGAUCGCACCCUGCUGGCGGGAAAAGAAAGUACAGCAAAAAAAUUGGAAAUUAGCAUUAUGGUGAGGAGCUUCAAAAGGGAUCAGCAUCCAUUGUUAGGACUUAAUUUGGAUUCAGGGCAAGUCACUUUAAGAUAAUGAAAUAUUUAUUUAUUUAGCACCUG